rnacentral:rRNA from 1 species
AGUGAACGCUGGCGGUAGGCCUAACACAUGCAAGUCGAACGGCAGCACAGUAAGAGCUUGCUCUUACGGGUGGCGAGUGGCGGACGGGUGAGGAAUACAUCGGAAUCUACUUUUUCGUGGGGGAUAACGUAGGGAAACUUACGCUAAUACCGCAUACGACCUACGGGUGAAAGCAGGGGAUCUUCGGACCUUGCGCGAUUGAAUGAGCCGAUGUCGGAUUAGCUAGUUGGCGGGGUAAAGGCCCACCAAGGCGACGAUUCGUAGCUGGUCUGAGAGGAUGAUCAGCCACACUGGAACUGAGACACGGUCCAGACUCCUACGGGAGGCAGCAGUGGGGAAUAUUGGACAAUGGGCGCAAGCCUGAUCCAGCCAUACCGCGUGGGUGAAGAAGGCCUUCGGGUUGUAAAGCCCUUUUGUUGGGAAAGAAAAGCAGCAGGUUAAUACCCCGCUGUUCUGACGGUACCCAAAGAAUAAGCACCGGCUAACUUCGCG